CUGGUUUAUCCUGCCAGUGGCAUAUGCUUGUCUCAAAGAUUAAGCCAUGCAAGUAUAAGUACACACGGCCAGGUCAGUGAAACUGCGAAUGGCUCAUUAAAUCAGUUAUGGUUCCUUUGAUGGCUCAAACGUUGCUUGGAUAACUGUGGCAAUUCUGGAGCUAAUACAUGCAAACGGGCGCUGACCCUUGCGGGGAUGCAUGCAUUUAUCAGACCCAAAAUCCAUCGGGGCUGCUCCUCCGGGGGUGCCCCGACCGCUUUGGUCACUCUAGAUAACCUGGAGCCGAUCGCUGGCCCCCCGUGGCGGCGACGUCUAUUUCGAAUGUCUGCCCUAUCAAGUUUCGAUGGUACUUUUUGUGCCUACCAUGGUGACAACGGGUAACGGGGAAUCAGGGUUCGAUUCCGGAGAAGGAGCCUGAGAAACGGCUACAACCCAAGGAAGGAAGCAGGCAUGCAAAUUACCCACUCCCGACUCGGGGAGGUAGUGAUGAAAAAAAACAAAUCAAGGCCUCUUUCGAGGCCCUGUAAUUGAAAUAAAAAGGAAUAUAUAUAUAUUAAUUGUCACACCAAAAUGUAACAUAGAAC
rnacentral:ncRNA from 1 species